CAGUAAAUAGUUUAUUUAAAAUAUUAAUUUUGGAGAUUGAAGUUGAGAAUUUCUCUUUACUGA
rnacentral:tRNA from 1 species